GUUUUUGAACCGAUAAUAUAUCGUUCACAAUAAGUUUGUAGUUUCUGUAAAUAUUUGAAUUCGAUCAAGUCUAGAAUGAUUUUCACAGUGACAUUCCAAAUGCAAUUUGAUUGAAAGGGAAUUGGAAGAUAACAUAAACUCCAUAUUUGAGCAGGAAUGAAACAAACGUAGUAUUUAUAAUAAUUUAUUUAUCAAAAGAUUCUUUUAUUCAACAUACUCAGUAAAACGUUCAACCAUUUCUAAAUAGAGGCCGCAGGACGUCAGAGCAAUCUUGGAGAAUAAAUGUCUUCCCUGCAAAACCACCAGUUAUACAUUUCAAAAACUAAGGGAGACUAAUUAUUUUCAGUAUUGCUGUAUUUAAAAUUACACUCAUUGCGAAACUGGCUUCUUUAUGCCGUCUUUAACCAAUCUCCAUAAAGGUGUUGAAUUGACCUAAAGGGAUUUUUGUAGCGAUCAAGUUAUAUGUGCUUGCCAUACAAUCUUGUCCUUGAUAUAAACUAUGAAAUCCUUUUUUGUGCCUUUAGUAACUGUAAGAUAUACCCAUGUUCACUUAUCAAAUUAACCUUAUUUUUGAAAACACUAUAUUGU
rnacentral:lncRNA from 1 species